CAAGGGCACAUUAAUAAAUAAUCACAAUAUUGAGGGCAACUUUACCAUUAUGUGUCAAUGAUAUUUAUCCAUUUCCAUUUUCCACCGCAAAAUCAUUUCAUUUCCACAUAACCGACGGUUUCUACCGAUCUUCACUAUAUUUUUUCUGCAAAAAAAAUUCCAAAGAAAAAUCCAAAUUUCUCAGCUCCGAUUCUUCCUCUAAAGAAAUUCAUCUUCAGUAUAACAAUUGGGUACCUUGUCGACUGCUUAGAAUUCUCGGAGGCGUUCGGCAUUGAAGCCAAUGAAUGCUGCGCCUAAGAGAAAUGAUUCAAUAAUUUCAUCAACAACUACCAUCGUGGCUCUUGAGGUAACAGAGAAAGUUGAGGCAGCAGACUGAGAAAUUGGCUAAGGAGCUUCAAAUUCCUUCUCCUCUUGAGAUUAUGGACAAAGCACUUGAGAAAUUUGGGGAUGACAUUGCUAUUGCGUUUAGUUGAGGAAAUCUGGAAGAUCGAAAGAGAUUGGGUCAAAGUUUCGCAACGACGAAGUGAAGAUGACGGAAAUUUUAAAAAAAAAGGUUGAAGAAAACUCCUCCAAUGGAGCAAAAAACUAAAAAACGGUACGA